UUAAAGAAGGAAGAGGUUUAUUUGGCCAGGAGUGUCAGCAGACUUGCAUCUUAAAAGCCGAGCUCCCUGAAAAAGAAAUUCUUGGCCUUUUUAAAGGCUUACAACUCUAAGGAGUCCAUGUGAAAGAGUCAUGAUGAAUUGAGCAAGUGUGGGGAAUGUGACUGGGGGGCUACAUGCAUCAGCUAAUAGAACAGAAAGUUUUGCAAUGCUUUUUCAUACAAUGUCUGGAAUUUACAGAUAACACAAGUAGUUUAGAUCGGGGUUGAUAUUAUUAUUACCUUUUUUUUUUUUUGAGACAGAGUCUCGCUCUGUCGCCCAGGCUGGAGUGCAGUGGCCAGAUCUCAGCUCACUGCAAGCUCCGCCUCCCAAGUCUACACCAUUCUCCUGCCUCAGCCUCCCGAGUAGCUGGGACUACAGGCGCCCGCCACCUCGCCGGGCUAGUUAUUUGUAUUUUUUUAGUAGAGACGGGGUUUCAACGUUAGCCAGGUUGGUCUCGAUCUCCUGACCUCGUGAUCCGCCCGUCUCGGCCUCCCAAAGUGCUGGGAUUACAGGCGUGAGCCACCACGCCCGGCCUAUUAUUACUUUUUUAACUCCUAGGGCCAGGUGGUGGUGCCAAGGUUGUCUGGCUAUUUAUCUUACUUCUGUUUCUUUCCAACUUUUUGCUUUCUCUCUUUCCUCCUCUCUUGUGAACUAGGCAAGAUGGGGGGAGGAGGACAGCAGGAGUAGUAGUGGUCUCCUUCCUUAAUGCCUCCCCUACCUCUAGCCCACUUCCAGCCCUCAGCUCUCCAGGGAGGAAAGGGUCCUGUGCUCUUGGGGAAGACCCAGAGGAGAGGUGGUUUUGCAAAUGGACACAUUUGCAGCUGGCUCUCCCACUCCUUGGCCCUGGAGGAGGGGCACGGUGUCUGCUGAUUCCAUCACCAAAUGCGAGAUAGAUAGUGUUUCCGGGGGUGUGUAUGGUCUUGGUGACACCAUGUGGAUGUGUGUUCCUGUGUCCUAGGUGGAUGGCCAGCUGAGUGUGUGCCUCCUUUUGUAUCUCCAUGUGGUACCAUGCUCUUGUGGACAGAAGCACAUCCUUUGGCUCCUGAGUCACAGCAAUUGUAGAUCUAGAGCCCACCUGGCCUUUGGGCCUCCUCUGGUCGCACCUCAUCACUGCCAGAUGAGGAAGGCGAUAACCAGAGAGGGGAAGAGCCCAAGUUUGUGAACAGAAAAGCUGGGCUUCAACCUGGGACUUCAGACUCCACAAAACAGAGAUGGCGGACCCUGCUCCUAACCUCCCAAACUGGGGUCCUCUCAGCUGGGAAUCCUCUGAGGAGCAAUUCAGGUACCUGGGACUUUUGCUUGCCUUCCCCCACUUCCUCUCCCCGGAUCAGCAGCGUCCAUCCUGGUUCCCCAGGCCCCUCCCAACCUCCACCUGGCUUUGGGCACUGCUGGAACCCAGGCAAGCCUGCCUGAGGCCUGGCCUCAAAGAUAACGAAGUUAGGGCUUUGCUUUACUCCUGACUACAACCCGAGUCACCCCGAGCUGCUCACCCAGGUGCUCCCACCCACAGACAACUGAGGAUGAGGAGGGAGAACGGAAGAAAAGGCUUUGGGCCCUGGGAGUGAAGCCUAGGACUCAGAACAAACUCAGGAAGUGGGGAGAGGGGAU
rnacentral:lncRNA from 1 species